rnacentral:rRNA from 1 species
GAGGAAUAUUGGUCAAUGGACGAGAGUCUGAACCAGCCAAGUAGCGUGAAGGAUGACUGCCCUAUGGGUUGUAAACUUCUUUUAUAUGGGAAUAAAGUAUUCCACGUGUGGGAUUUUGUAUGUACCAUAUGAAUAAGGAUCGGCUAACUCCGUGCCAGCAGCCGCGGUAAUACGGGGGAUCCGAGCGUUAUCCGGAUUUAUUGGGUUUAAAGGGAGCGUAGGUGGAUUGUUAAGUCAGUUGUGAAAGUUUGCGGCUCAACCGUAAAAUUGCAGUUGAAACUGGCAAUCUUGAGUACAGUAGAGGUGGGCGGAAUUCGUGGUGUAGCGGUGAAAUGCUUAGAUAUCACGAAGAACUCCGAUUGCGAAGGCAGCUCACUAGACUGCAACUGACACUGAUGCUCGAAAGUGUGGGUAUCAAACAGGAUUAGAUACCCUGGUAGUCCACACAGUAAACGAUGAAUACUCGCUGUUUGCGAUAUACAGUAAGCGGCCAAGCGAAAGCAUUAAGUAUUCCACCUGGGGAGUACGCCGGCAACGGUGAAACUCAAAGGAAUUGACGGGGGCCCGCACAAGCGGAGGAACAUGUGGUUUAAUUCGAUGAUACGCGAGGAACCUUACCCGGGCUUAAAUUGCAUUUGAAUAAUCUGGAAACAGGUUAGCCGCAAGGCAAAUGUGAAGGUGCUGCAUGGUUGUCGUCAGCUCGUGCCGUGAGGUGUCGGCUUAAGUGCCAUAACGAGCGCAACCCUUAUCUUUAGUUACUAACAGGUUAUGCUGAGGACUCUAGAGAGACUGCCGUCGUAAGAUGUGAGGAAGGUGGGGAUGACGUCAAAUCAGCACGGCCCUUACGUCCGGGGCUACACACGUGUUACAAUGGGGGGUACAGAAGGCAGCUACCUGGCGACAGGAUGCUAAUCCCAAAAACCUCUCUCAGUUCGGAUCGAAGUCUGCAACCCGACUUCGUGAAGCUGGAUUCGCUAGUAAUCGCGCAUCAGCCAUGGCGCGGUGAAUACGUUCCCG